UACGUAGGGGGCAAGCGUUGUCCGGAUUCAUUGGGCGUAAAGCGCGUGUAGGCGGCCAGGUAGGUCCGCUGUGAAAACUCGAGGCUCAACCUCGAGACGUCGGCGGAAACCAUCUGGCUAGAGUCCGGAAGAGGAGAAUGGAAUUCCCGGUGUAGCGGUGAAAUGCGCAGAUAUCGGGAAGAACACCCGUGGCGAAGGCGGUUCUCUGGGACGGUACUGAGCUGAGACGCGAAAGCGUGGGGAGCGAACAGG
rnacentral:rRNA from 1 species